rnacentral:tRNA from 1 species
GCGAUGUAGCUCAGGUGGUCAGAGCAUACGGCUCAUAUCCGUAGUGUCUGGGGUUCAAAUCCCUGCAUCGCC